UGUAAGCGUAUACCAAAGUUGUUGCAGUUAAAACGCUCGUAGUCGGAAUUUGGCAGUUCCGGAAGUGUGCACGUCGUGUGCGCACUUUGCGGGGACUGCUUUUGUGGUCUUGCGUAGGAUGAGGCACUUUCAUUAGUGAACGUCCUCACGCAACCACUCUUUACUGUGAGAAAAUCAGAGUGCUCAAAGCAGGCAUUUGCCGUGAAUGUAUUAGCAUGGAAUAAUAGAAUAGGACUCGGUUCUAUUUUGUUGGUUUGUUGGGACUGAGUAAUGAUUAAGAGGGACAGUUGGGGGCAUUUGUAUUCCGGCGCUAGAGGUGAAAUUCUUAGAUUGCCGGAAGACAAACUGCUGCGAAAGCGUCUGCCAAGGAUGUUUCAUUGA
rnacentral:rRNA from 1 species